rnacentral:rRNA from 1 species
CCCUUAGAUGUUCUGGGCCGCACGCGUGCUACACUGAGUAAUUCAAUGGGUAAGGGAACGCUAGAGCAUUACCUAAUCUUGAAAUUUGCUCGUGAUGGGGAUCGACGGUUGCAAUUUUCCGUCGUGAACGAGGAAUACCUUGUAGGCGCAUGUCAUCAUCAUGCGCCGAAUACGUCCCUGCCCUUUGUACACACCGCCCGUCGCUCCUACCGAUUGAGUGAUCCGGUGAGGCACUGGGACCUGGACGGAAAGAGCGUUUCGCUUGUUCUGUUUGGGAAACUUGGUCGAACCUUAUCAUUUAGAGGAAGGAGAAGUCGUAACA